rnacentral:rRNA from 1 species
UGGCUCAGGAUGAACGCUGGCGGUCUGCUUAACACAUGCAAGUCGAACGGUUGUAGAAAUACAAUAGUGGCGGACGGGUGAGUAACGCGUGAGAACCUGCCUUUUAGACUGGGACAACAGAGGGAAACCUGUGCUAAUACCAGAUGAACCGAGAGGGGAAAGAUUAAUCGCUAAAAGAGGGGCUCGCGUCGGAUUAGCUAGUUGGUGUGGUAAAAGCGCACCAAGGCGACGAUCCGUAGCUGGUCUGAGAGGAUGACCAGCCACACUGGGACUGAGACACGGCCCAGACUCCUACGGGAGGCAGCAGUGGGGAAUUUUCCGCAAUGGGCGAAAGCCUGACGGAGCCAGACCGCGUGAGGGAAGAAGGGCUCUAGGGUUGUAAACCUCUUUUAUCAGGGGAAGAAGAAAGUGACGGGUACCUGAAGAAAAAGCCUCGGGCUAACUCCGUGCCAGCCGCCGCGGGUAACACCUGAGACUCC